GAUUCGGAUGAGCAGGUGGGGCGGAGGCCGUCGCCGGCGCAGUUAGUCGCGUGACAGGCGUUGGCUGGCUCCACUUUGCUGUCCUCAAAAUGACUACAAACCUUGCUGAGUG
rnacentral:snoRNA from 1 species